rnacentral:rRNA from 1 species
AGCGAACGCUGGCGGCAGGCCUAACACAUGCAAGUCGAACGGACCCUUCGGGGUUAGUGGCGGACGGGUGAGUAACACGUGGGAACGUGCCUUUAGGUUCGGAAUAGCUCCUGGAAACGGGUGGUAAUGCCGAAUGUGCCCUUCGGGGGAAAGAUUUAUCGCCUUUAGAGCGGCCCGCGUCUGAUUAGCUAGCUGGUGGUGUAACGGACCACCAAGGCGACGAUCAGUAGCUGGUCUGAGAGGAUGAUCAGCCACAUUGGGAAUGAGACACGGCCCAAACUCCUACGGGAGGCAGCAGUGGGGAAUCUUGCGCAAUGGGCGAAAGCCUGACGCAGCCAUGCCGCGUGAAUGAUGAGGGUCUUAGGAUUGUAAAAUUCUUUCACCGGGGACGAUAAUGACGGUACCCGGAGAAGAAGCCCCGGCUAACUUCGUGCCAGCCGCCGCAGUAACAC